GCUUCCGGGAGGGGCCGCGCGGGAAGGCGGCCGCGGGAUCCGUUUCCUUUCGAGGCGGGCGUUGUCGGUUGGGCUAGCCAGCCUUCCAUCCUGGCCCGCCGCGCGGGUGUCGCGCCCGCGGCGUGGGCCGACUCGCGGACCGGUGCACCCACCGCCAAGGACAAAAGGAGCCCAGCGCUACUAGCUGCACCCGAUUCCUCCCAGUGCUUAGCAUGAAGAAGGCCGAAAUGGGACGGUUCAGUAUUUCCCCGGAUGAAGACAGCAGCAGCUACAGUUCCAACAGCGACUUCAACUACUCCUACCCCACCAAGCAAGCUGCUCUGAAAAGCCAUUAUGCAGAUGUAGAUCCUGAAAACCAGAACUUUUUACUUGAAUCGAAUUUGGGGAAGAAGAAGUAUGAAACAGAAUUUCAUCCAGGUACUACUUCCUUUGGAAUGUCAGUAUUUAAUCUGAGCAAUGCGAUUGUGGGCAGUGGAAUCCUUGGGCUUUCUUAUGCCAUGGCUAAUACUGGAAUUGCUCUUUUUAU
rnacentral:sRNA from 1 species